GAUCAUGGCUCGGGACGAACGCUGGCGGCGUGCUUAACACAUGCAAGUCGAACGAAAAGACGGAAAGAGCUUGCUCUUUUCAGAAUUGAGUGGCAAACGGGUGAGUAACACGUAAACAACCUGCCUUCAGGAUGGGGACGAACAGACGGAAACGACUGCUAAUACCGAAUAAGUUCCAAGAGCCGCAUGGCCCACUGGAAGAAAAGGUAGGGCCUCUACCUGUAAGCUAUCGCCUGAAGAGGGGUUUGCGU
rnacentral:rRNA from 1 species